UUACAUGAGUUAAAGACCAAUUUACUUCCAUCUUAGUUUAACACAGCUGGAAAUUAGCCUGUGGCUGUCUUGUAAUCUUCCACGGUUCGCUUGUUGCUUCCAACUGAAUUGGCUGUUCCCUGUCAGAGGCUCUGGAACAGCCAACAGACCAUGGGAAGGCAUUCCUCUGGGCUCCUGCUUGAAACCAACGGCUACAGCAAACCGAUGGCCUUGAUUCAGGGCCCAUAGAAAUGAGGAUCAAAACACCCCAGUACACAGCAUGCUAUCAGGG